rnacentral:lncRNA from 1 species
CUGGCUGGUUCCAAAUAGGCAUGACACCUAAGGCCAGAGUUCCCAGAACAUUCCUCCUUGAAGGAAUGAGGAAGCAAGAAAAAGCACAUCUGGAGUCCACGGGCCAAGUCUGGCAGCGGUCAGUCCUGAGCCAACGUGGUCUGUGAGGGUUGGGCCCAGGUGGGAAAAUCCAGGGGCCCCCGAUGAUGAACAGGCAGCCACCAGGGGGCGCUGUGGGGGCUGGUGGCUCACCCGGGCACAGGGGCUGGGGGUGGGGGCAGGAUGCAGGGGGCUCUGUCUCCUCUCACCUCUUUCUUUCAAGGCCCUUCCUUUGCUUCUCACUGGCUCACUUGUUCAUACUUAAAAGGCAGUGGGACUGUGUCAAGAGCUGGUCCCUAGAGUCCAACCGCAGCCCUGCCCUCCUGGCCAUCUGAUCACAGCAAGUAACCUCACGCCCUCACUGUGCAGACGAGCUGGGACUUGGCACGUGCUGUGCGGUACACAGUUUCAGCACUGAUAACCCAGCUCCCAGCUCUUGUCACUUCCCUUAGGAGACCAAGUCCACCCACCUGGGCUCCCGGGGCCCACUCCCACCAGCCGGCCCCAGUCAGGCCUCCUCGUCCCUGUGCUGUCCCCGCCUGCCGUGUGUCCCCAGGCUGGUCCUGGCAGCUGCAGGAUGAAGCAAGCUCUUACCCAUAAAUGUCCUCUGCGAGCCUCUGAAUCAUCGUUCUCGAAACUUUGCCUUGGAAUUUGUUCUGUUGCCCCCAGUUGAGUGUGUCAAACAGGGAGCCCCAAGGCUGGGGGUGGGGGGGUGGGGGCGGGGGCGGGGGGCGGCUGCAGAACGUCACUUCCCUGGGAACAGCUCCCGACUUCAGCUGGCUCACACAUGGCUCAGAUGUGGGCUCCACAUCCUCUGCCAGGGAAAAUAGAAGACGUACAAAAAUUAAAAAGAAAGAACGUUUUCCUCAGCCGCAGUCUCCACGGAGCUUUCAGCAAAGGUCCAGGCCUGAGCGCGGCCAGAGCCCCAGCAAGCAUGGAAGCAGCCUUCCUCUGAAGACAAUCAGACCAGAGGGAACAGGCAGUGGGCGACUGGACCCCUCAGCACAGAGGGCUCAGGGAGUGGGGGCACUGACCCCCUGGGAAGUGGAGUCCUGCCCAGUGGGAGAAAGGGAAGGGGGACCCCGGGUGGGAGCGGGGCUCUGC